rnacentral:misc_RNA from 1 species
ACUUUGUCCAUCACCUGAAUGCUUUAGACAUCAGUUCCAGCAGUAUAUAGUUAUGAUAAGAGUAAGAAUCUAAUUCAGAUAAGCCAUUCUAUCCCUUUUUCUGGUGGUAGAAAGAUAGACUGUCUAAGCAGCAAGUAGUUACUCUACUGAUAUCAUACUGGCAGAGGAAUGACAAGUACUAUAAUAGUUUAUGGAGUUUUUACAAAGCUGGGUUAAUGCAGGAAACAUCAUGUCACCAGCUAGUUCAUGCUCAAAUUUGAAUGUCAGAUCACCAAGCAAUGACUCAUACCUCAAAGUUUUCCAGAAAUGUGUCAUUUGAGAA